rnacentral:rRNA from 1 species
UGGGGAAUUUUGCACAAUGGGCGCAAGCCUGAUGCAGCGACGCCGCGUGAGGGAUGAAGGCCUUCGGGUUGUAAACCUUUUUCGCUCAUGGUCAAGCCGCCGCUUUGGGUUGUGGUGAGGGUAGUGGGUAAAGAAGCGCCGGCUAACUACGUGCCAGCAGCCGCGGUAAUACGUAGGGCGCGAGCGUUGUCCGGAAUUAUUGGGCGUAAAGGGCUUGUAGGCGGUUGGCCGCGUCUGCCGUGAAAUCCUCUGGCUUAACUGGGGGCGUGCGGUGGGUAAGGGUUGGCUUGAGUGCGGUAUGGGAGAAUGGAAUUCCUGGUGUAGCGGUGGAAUGCGCAGAUAUCAGGAGGGACACCGGUGGCGAAGGCGGGUCUCUGGGCCGUUACUGACGCUGAGGGGCGAAAGCGUGGGGAGCGAACAGG